AGCUCCGGUUGAUCUUCCUCAAGGUUCUCAUCCAGCUGUUGAAUCUUCACAAGAUUCAUUUUCCGUUUCACUGGCUCUGUUUGAUCUCCCAGAAUAAGUUAUUCCCGGUUUCAUCAGCCAACCCACCUACUACAAUGACGUGCAACUCACCCCCCCUAAACAAACCACCUCCGUCAAUAUAUUUCGACCCCACUUCCACUGUCCAUUUCCUCCCACACAAUUCCAUCAGUACAUUACUCUAGUCCUAACCCUCCCAAUGAAUAUUAUGAAUACUUUUAUGAUAAUGAAACUCAUUAUCCAUACCAAACUUUCCCAAAUACUUUUCAUGA
rnacentral:lncRNA from 1 species